GAUGGUCAGUUCAGUUGAUGAAUCUGUUGUUUUAGAUUCAUAUCGAUUAUCUGGAAUGUAUUCAGCUGAAGAUCCUUUUGCUCCUUUAUAGAGUAUAAACUGAGGAGCCUGAAGGUCAGAAUGUCUGUACCAGUGAAGCCAAAUAUUUCUGUAUGCUGUGUCAUAUUGACAUUUGAGUGUGACAGAUUCUCCUUCUCUUCCACUGACUUUAUCUCCUACAGGAGAGAUUGUGUCUCCAGCUAUUAGUCCUGGAAAAAGUGGAGAAAAUGAAGCCAUUAGACUAACAUUGUUCAUGAGGCUGAGAGGAGAAGACAGUGGAAAAUAUCAAGUGUACAGUGUUACUCUGUGGACAGAAACAGCUCAACUGUUGAGAGAUUUCUGCUCUGAACUCCAGUUUCCAUCAAUCUUUAGAAAAGAAUAAAAACAUGUUGUGCUUUCUAUCUUACCAAAGAAAAGAGCAGCAAGAAUAAUCCACAGCCAAUGUUCCAUCUCUACAACAAGGUUUAAAUCAACAGGAGAAACUAGCUGAUGUUCAACAUUCAGUGUGACAAUUGUUCUCUUCACAGCAGCAGUUAUUAUUGACAGAAUGGUUGAACACAGUGCAGAAGUAGUGCACCGCCUACUUGAUAAUGUCGCCCUCUAGUGGAGCUAAAAAGUUGAGUCCAACAGUGUGGAAAAAAGGCUUCCAGCAGCUUGUCAGUGUGUCAGCUUGUGUUUUUGUACAGAGACUGUGGGUUUGCUGUCACUGUGGGCCUCACAGCACAGUAGUACAGAGCAGAGUCUGUCACUGCAGCAGAGGAGAUCUGCAGAUCCAUUUGGGUUUUAUCCUCACUCACUGUAACUGACAGUCUAGAGACUGGGUUAGACGUUAAUGUUCCUGUUCCUGAGUGAGAGAUGAGGAACUCUGGUGGUUUUCCUGGAUAUUGUCGAUACCAGAAGAAAUAAUCAGUUACAUCAGCUUGUUUGUAGUAUU